CCAUGCUAGAUGGGGAGUUAGCGGUUCCCUGUAACUUGCAGUCCGCUAUAGCAAGAUUGAAUUCCCGGCAUAGCAUUUAUUUUUUUGCAGUCUGCCCGAAACAAGUGAUGUUGAUGAGCAGGUCCUGCGCAAUAGACCCUUGCGAACCGUGUCAGGUCUUGACGGAAGCAGCACUAAGUAAGUCAGUCUAUGUGACGCAGAUUAGCCUUCUCUGAGUUAACUAUUUCGGUAACGUGUGGAGAUUAAAUGCAACGUCGGGUGCAUGG
rnacentral:SRP_RNA from 1 species